GUAGUUUAUAAGUACACACGCGUUGAUUGGAAGUCAGUGACCAGUAACAACGUUUUAUUGACCUAUUACGCGCUAAUUAUAAUACGAGUACGCUCCGAAAUUUUAUGGCAUGAGUGAUUUAUGGUUGCUUGCUACUCCUGAUAUUGAAGCUAAUAUAAAGGAACCUGUCUCAAGUUGAGCCUAUUAUGAAGCGGUGCCAAUACAUUAUCGGGAGUGCAGCACACCUAUGCCGAAAUAUUUGUGGUACAAGAUGUUAUGUCUAAAACCAAUAUCCUUUUGGACCUCCAGAUUCAAGUGUCAUGAUGAUCAUGAUGAUUAUGAUGACUAUAAUAGGACAUGGAAGUCCUUUUACCAUACUUUAACCAAUUUAAGGUCAGAACUUAGGUGUAUGGAAAAAGAAGGUGUAUAUAAGGAUACAGAUAAUGCAAUAGCUUGGAGGGGUUAUACAUUUUUAGAAAGGUAUUGCUACCUGGCUUUUGAGUGCCCUAGCCAGCUUCAGUUACCUUUUGUACAUACAUUACCUGUAAAUAUUGUAAAAAAAAAAUAUGAAUAAUAAAUAUUUUUAAAACAA